rnacentral:rRNA from 1 species
GACGAACGCUGGCGGCGUGCUUAACACAUGCAAGUCGAGCGGUAAGGCCUGGUUUCGGCUGGGUACACGAGCGGCGAACGGGUGAGUAACACGUGGAUGACCUGCCUUCAGCUCUGGGAUAAGCCUGAGAAAUUGGGUCUAAUACCGGAUAUGACCUUUGCCUGCAUGGGUGGGGGUGGAAAGCUUGGUUGUGAUGACUUGGCGGUUGGAGAUGGGCCCGCGGCCUAUCAGCUUGUUGGUGGGGUGAUGGCCUACCAAGGCGACGACGGGUAGCCGGCCUGAGAGGGCGACCGGCCACACUGGGACUGAGACACGGCCCAGACUCCUACGGGAGGCAGCAGUGGGGAAUAUUGCGCAAUGGGCGGAAGCCUGACGCAGCGACGCCGCGUGGGGGAUGACGGCCU